UACAAACUGCAGAGAAGCAUUGCUGCAACACACUGCAAUGCAGAAGCUACAGUAAACACAGGUGAAGUAAAGGGCCCUGGUGAAAAAGAAGCACAAGUUCAAGGACACUUCGGGGAAAAAGGUUUGGUUUGGGCAGAGGAUUCCAGACAGGGCACUCAGCUUGAAUAACUCUUCUGGUAAUAUGAUCUGAGUAUAUUUGAUAGCUAAAUGCCAUGAAACUAGUUGAGAAUGUCAAAUCUUUGUGGUGGGGUCAGAAGGAAAUUGUUGCCAAUAUAAUUACAAGAAUUGCAAACAACAUUUUUCUUUAUGUAAUUACAAAACUUUUCAGUAGCAGAAUGAGUAAGGCCACUUAACAAGACAGUAACUCUGCUCAGUGCAAAAAUAAUUAGGGUUUUUUUUUUUUUCUCCAAAAGGUACCUAAAAUGUUAGUAGUGCAGUCACAAAGUAGCUGUCUGUAAGGGAAAAAGAGAACUCUCAAACAAAUCAUUAGGGUGAGUGCAAAUUAAAGGGAAAGAAGUACAAGCAAUUGUUUAAGAUCACAAACCUGUACAACACAAAUGCAGGUCCCACCUCUGAGUACAGAGACUUCCCUGGAAGUGGAACAACUGCAGCAUAUUACUUGAUUCAUUGGUACACUGCUUGACCCAAAAGGGCCUAUAUCACUUUUGAAAGUGGGACUUGGGCUCCUAAGUCACUUCUGUGUUUUUGAAAAUGUUAUUUCUAUCCUCAGUGAAGUUCUUCUGAAGUCAUUUACUUACCUGCCAAGGACUGUAUUGCUUUUUAAUAAGAAGGAAGAAGGAACCCAUGAUGUAGCUAUGCAGUCCAAAGUCAGAUUAAGAAAGUAAGCCUUUGCAUGCACCUGAGUUGAAUUCAAUAUAAUGGAUUUAUCAUUAGAAAAAAUAAAGGUGUGGAGAAGAAAUGUGGAAAAAGCUUCCUGAAUUGGAAAGGAUGCGAAAAAUAAUGUCAUGUAUCCUUAAGUUCCCUUAUAUCUCUUGGUGUGUUAUUGAACAUGACUUGGACUAAGUAGCAGUUUCAGAAAUUUACAACCAAAGGACAAAAUAUAAUUUACUGGAAGGAUAGCUGGAUUAGCACAUUCAAGCUAACUGAUAACGUUUCGAGGAAGCGACUGUCUGACUGUGCUUUAAAGAAGACUGACUUUCCAACUGUUUCCUGUUGUCUGGAUGCUAUCUUUAGCAUUAUUUAUUCCUAGACUUUCCACUCUUUUUUGUUAUCAUAUAGAAAUCUUGGAUUUCCCUUUAAUUUCCUACUUGAUAUCAUACACAAUGCUGCAUUUCAAAGAAAGAACCGCUCAUUAGGAACAAAACAGGGUUUGGUGAGGUAGGAAAUUCAAAAUCCCUAUGGUGUAAUAAUAACUUUACAGUAAGUAAUUCGUUUUUGCUGCCCUCUACAACUCCACCUAAGUCAAUUAGACUCAUCAUUCAAUGGGAGACUGGCACCCAAAUACCUUUGAGGAUCUGGGCCUUACUCCUUCUGUGACUGAUGGCUUGGUGAUUAAGAGGCAAGACCUAAAUUCUGUUUUUUGGCUCUGCAGCAAUCUUCCUGUGUCGUCUUGGACUAGUCACUAACCUUUUCUGCAAAUUUUCUCUUCUGUAAAGUGGGAUUACACCUCACACAAGUGCUCUGAUUCAAAAAAUAAUGCAUGUUCACAAAGUGUUUUGAAAUCUUCCAGUGGAAGAGAAACAGAUUGAUUACUUGAGGCUGACGUCAGGUUGCCCAGUAUAACAUCCUCACAAGCCAGAAUCUGCUUGAAAGCAACUUUUUUGGCAAGAAAAGGGUAAAAUGUAUGGUCACGUGGGGUUUAAUAGUGAUUAACCAGAGCUUUUGUGAAACAAAAUGCAGCAUUGAAAUUGGAAUGCAGAAAAUUUUAAAACUCAGAUUAAAGAAAUGCAGGAGGGUGAGAUGCAAGAAUUGAGAAACAAGGUCAUUAUGUACAAGUUCAGAGGCUUUGAGAAAGCUCAGGAAUGUGAGCCUCUUACAGAAUGUCUACACUGCAAUGCAAGCCCAUGCUUGAGCUUGGGCUCAAGCCUAGGCCCCCUUGCAUCUACACUGCAAUUGUGCUAACCCAGGGUCACAGGACCCUGCAAGGUCUGUGCACAAGUCAAGCUGGGACUCGGGGUUCGCUCUAUUGCUUUGCAGUGUAGACACUACUCCUUUUGACCUGUGUCCUAGUAGUCUGCCAGACAUAUCCCACAAUUCCAUGGGACAAUUCCUUAGUCCCCCCUCUCCCAACAAUCUCCAAUCCACUCUACUGAAAAUGGAAGCCACCCUCUCCCCUCUUGGCAAACGGCAGCAGCUCAGGUCGAUGUUAACCCAUUCUGUUCUGAUCACCAAUCUGCAAGCACACUAUCACUUGCUGGAGGAUUCUCUGCACCUUGAAGUCUUCAAACCAUGAUUUGAGGACUUCAGUAGCUCAGACAUAAGUUAAGGGUUUGUUACAGGAGUUGGUGGGUGAGAUUCCGUGGCCUGCGUUGUGCAGGAGGUCGGAAUAGAGACUAUCAUAAUGGUCCCUUCUGACCUUUAAAGUCUAUGAUUCUACAUCACUAUCUGGGUUUGCAAUGAAGAGUGAUCCCAUCAAGCCUUUUGCCAAGUGAACUGCUUCAUGAUUAAGGGAGUAUAGCCAAAUUUUGGUGAAUCUCUGUUGCGAGGCCAGUAAAACUGUGGACUUCAACAAAAGCACCAGAAAUGAUAUGUGUACCAGCAGAUAGCUAAAAAGCUGGCAACUCUGUGUGAGAUUUUUUCAAACAGGUGACCUGUUCAGGGAGCAUAUUAAGAAGGUGAAGAGUGAGUGCUGGAAGACCAGGGACAAGAACUGCACCUUGGGCAAUUCGCCAAUGCUAGGCCCAUUUUAUGAUGGCUUUGACCAGGUUCUGGGCACUGCAUCCAGUAUAGAGCCAAUCAUGCUUCCUGACGUUCUUAUCAGCCGGGAUGGUGCCCUGUUGGCCCCUGAAUUCAACAUGGGGACUGGUGGGAGCCAGCAGCAGGCUCCCAGUACAGAGUUUGAAGUGUCUUUUUUUUAAAUGGAAUCAGUCCCAGAGUAGGCUCAAGAUCAGGAUCAACAGAAAAUUCUCAGUCCCUUUUCAGAAGCGUGUUUUAUUUUCACCUCUUUCCUCCCCUCCCCUGGAACAGCCUGCUACCGAGCCAGCAGCACACCCACUGGAGACAGAAGCUGCCCCAGAGUCUGGCCCCCCAGGAUGCAUGCCUGCUGUUCUUCAGGAACUCGAUCCCUAUGCCAACGUUCCUUCACCAAACGUUCCAAAAGGAAGUGUUUCGGUGAUGAAGUUCUGAGAGGGCAGACCAGCAGGUCCAGUACCAGAAGAAGAGGGACAACAGACUGGAAUAACAGGGCCCUGACAGGCAGGAGGAAAGACUGAGGCACGCUGCCCCAGUGGAGGAUAGGGUUUCAACGAGGGAGCAGGCAAUUGCAAAGCAGUUCCUGGAACAGGAACAGCGGCUAAGGGAGGAGAACAGAUCUCAGCAGAGAACUGUUCCAGAAAUUCCUGUCCAUAAUGGCUCCUGCUGCCUCCUCAACAUCAUGGCAUGAUGAUCACUCUGCAAAGUAUCCUCAGUCCAGCAGCAGCUUGGACAACUCCAUUUCAGGGCAGCCCAUGCAUUCAUCUUUGUGUGGUUUUACUAUUUUAAGACAUGUUUACAAAUAAAGCUUGUUAUGCUCUCA